rnacentral:rRNA from 1 species
NNUUCCCUGACGCUACGGCAGGCCUAAUACNUGCANGUCGAACGGUAAGGUCCCUUCGGGGAUACACGAGUGGCGCACGGGUGCGUAACGCGUAUGCAACCUACCCUUUACUGGGGGGAUAGCCCGGAGAAAUCCGGAUUAAUACUCCAUGGUACUAUAGUGUAGCAUUACAUAAUAGUUAAAGAUUUAUUGGUAAAGGAUGGGCAUGCGUGACAUUAGUUAGUUGGUGAGGUAAUGGCUCACCAAGACGAUGAUGUCUAGGGGUUCUGAGAGGAAGGUCCCCCACACUGGCACUGAGAUACGGGCCAGACUCCUACGGGAGGCAGCAGUAGGGAAUAUUGGUCAAUGGGCGAAAGCCUGAACCANCCAUGCCGCGUGCAGGAANACAGCCUUCUGGGUUGUAAACUGCUUUUAUACAGGAACAANANGCCAUGCGUGGCAAGUUCNUGUCUUGUAUGAAUAACACCGGCUACUCCUGCCNCANCCNCGGUAAUACNGAGGUNCANCCUUNNCCGAUUAUUGGUUUAANGGNCC